AUCCUCAGGUUCAUAAGCGUGAUGAUUGGGUGCUCAUGCUCCGUGCAUGACAUGUGCCUCCUUUGAAUCUUGUUACGACAUUACCCAUCUGACA
rnacentral:snoRNA from 1 species